rnacentral:lncRNA from 10 species
CUUCUGUGAAAUAUAAACUCUUGCUUUUAUAGGAGUGGGAAGAUUUACUUCAAAAGUUAUUUCCAAACACUCAUUUCAGCUCAUGCAAAGGAAUGCAUCGUGGCUGCAAGCCAAGGGGAAUUUUAUUCCAAAGACCCCUCCUGGAGGAAUCUUUAAGAGGAGACUAAGGUCUCUGCAGGUGGAUAAAGAACCUGCCUAGAAUAUUAGCAGCAGAAGUAUAAUUAGAAGCUACCUCUUCGAUUAAAACAAACAUUCACAAAUAGACACUUGGGAUUUUAGUCACCACUAUUUCAAAGUAGAGGAGCUGAGGACGCUAAGACCCUAUAGAAAUAAAAGGAAGAUGACUAGGAGCCUAAGUCCCACCCUUCCAACUUCCAGCUUUAAUGUAAAAAGAAGCUAACAGCAAAUGCCUGGAUGCAACUUGCAUAUUCUCAAAGAGAAGAUGGUCCAGAGAGUAAGUGGAAUGGUCCUGGCUGCCAAAUGCUAAUAGCUUGAAAAUCCUCCACGAGAGAAGAAAAUCAAUUAAGAUGUAAUUAAAUCAUCACUUCAUCAUUUCUGCAUAUGAAAUAUUACACUGAGAUCAAGAAUUUGGUCCCCAAAAUAGAUAAAAGUCAAAUAGAAGUAUGAAUGAAAGAAAAUAAAAUGAAUUCGAGAUAUUUUUGGAGCUGAUUCAUUUACAAAUGGACUAACACAUAAUAAACCUCAGUCGGGAAUCUUAGAAGUAACCAUCAAUGCUUCCCAUAAGAAUGGAAAUUAUCUGUAAAUCAAGAGCAGAAUCCUGACCAUGGACCAAAAAAAAAUUUUUUUUGAAAAGCUAAUUUUAGAAAUUUACUACUGGAUUUACAGUACACUUUUUAAAGACCAAAAUAAUAAGUGUUUGUCUUUAGUAAGGGAAAGUACCUUUUAGAGUUGCUAACUUUAUUUUGAUUUGAUUUUUUGUUUUUAUUAACCAUUAUUUCUCGGGCCCUUGAAAACAUUUUUCUUUCAUCUGGGGAGGUUCUGUUAGUCAGUUUACAAAACUGGCAGCAUUUCAUUUUUUCAAUGAAAUUUAACAGAAUUUUGUCUCAGCUUUUACAUGAUGUGUAUGAACUUGAAUAAAUUCAUCCCUUUCUUUUAGCCUGUUUACUUAAAAGUCAAAUUUUGGGGAAUUCCUGUAAUCUCUUUCUUAUAGUAUUGUUGUGUCAGAGACGUUUGAACCAGAGCAACUCCAUCUUGAGUAGUGGCUGGGUAAAAGGAGCCUGAGGCGUACUGGGCUGCAUUCCCAGAUGGUUAGGCAUUCUAAGUCACAGGAUGAGACAGAAAAUCAGCACAAGAUACAGGUCAUACAGACCUUGCUGACAAAACAGCUUGCAGUAAAAACGCCAGCUAAAACCCACCAAAACCAAGAUGGCGCUGAGAGUCACCUCCGGUCAUCCUCACUGCUACACUCCCACCAGUGCUAGGACAGUCUACAAAUGCCGUGACAACCUCAGGAAGUUACCCUAUAUGGUCUAAAAAG